rnacentral:rRNA from 1 species
CCUACGGGAGGCAGCAGUGAGGAAUAUUGGUCAAUGGGCGCGAGCCUGAACCAGCCAAGUCGCGUGAGGGAAGACGGUCCUAUGGAUUGUAAACCUCUUUUGUCGGGGAGCAAAAGACGCCACGCGUGGCGUUCCGAGAGUACCCGAAGAAAAAGCAUCGGCUAACUCCGUGCCAGCAGCCGCGGUAAUACGGAGGAUGCGAGCGUUAUCCGGAUUUAUUGGGUUUAAAGGGUGCGCAGGCGGAAGGUUAAGUCAGCGGUAAAAUUGAGGGGCUCAACCUCUUCGAGCCGUUGAAACUGGUUGUCUUGAGUGAGCGAGAAGUAUGCGGAAUGCGUGGUGUAGCGGUGAAAUGCAUAGAUAUCACGCAGAACUCCGAUUGCGAAGGCAGCAUACCGGCGCUCAACUGACGCUCAUGCACGAAAGUGUGGGUAUCGAACAGGAUUAGAUACCCUAGUAGUC